UGGGGAAUAUUGGACAAUGGGCGAAAGCCUGAUCCAGCCAUGCCGCGUGUGUGAAGAAGGUCUUCGGAUUGUAAAGCACUUUAAGUGGGGAGGAAUGGCAGUAAGCGAAUACCUUGCUGUUUUGACGUUACCGACAGAAUAAGCACCGGCUAACUCUGUGCCAGCAGCCGCGGUAAUACAGAGGGUGCAAGCGUUAAUCGGAAUUACUGUGCGUAAAGCGCGCGUAGGUGGUUCGUUAAGUUGAAUGUGAAAGCCCCGGGCUCAACCUGGGAACUGCAUCCAAAACUGGCGAGCUAGAGUAGGGCAGAGGGUGGUGGAAUUUCCUGUGUAGCGGUGAAAUGCGUAGAUAUAGGAAGGAACACCAGUGGCGAAGGCGACCACCUGGGCUCAUACUGACACUGAGGUGCGAAAGCGUGGGGAGCAAACAGG
rnacentral:rRNA from 1 species